CCUGGCUCAGGUACGAACGCUGGCGGCGCGCCUAACACAUGCAAGUCGAACGAGCGAGAGAGAGCUUGCUUUCUCGAGCGAGUGGCGAACGGGUGAGUAACGCGUGAGGAACCUGCCUCAAAGAGGGGGACAACAGUUGGAAACGACUGCUAAUACCGCAUAAGCCCACGGCUCGGCAUCGAGCAGAGGGAAAAGGAGCAAUCCGCUUUGAGAUGGCCUCGCGUCCGAUUAGCUAGUUGGUGAGGUAAUGGCCCACCAAGGCGACGAUCGGUAGCCGGACUGAGAGGUUGAACGGCCACAUUAGGACUGAGACACGGCCCAGACUCCUACGGGAGGCAGCAGUGGGGGAUAUUGCACAAUGGGGGAAACCCUGAUGCAGCGACGCCGCGUGGAGGAAGAAGGUCUUCGGAUUGUAAACUCCUGUUGUUGAGGAAGAUAAUGACGGUACUCAACAAGGAAGUGACGGCUAACUACGUGCCAGCAGCCGCGGUAAAACGUAGGUCACAAGCGUUGUCCGGAAUUACUGGGUGUAAAGGGAGCGCAGGCGGGAAGACAAGUUGGAAGUGAAAUCCAUGGGCUCAACCCAUGAACUGCUUUCAAAACUGUUUUUCUUGAGUAGUGCAGAGGUAGGCGGAAUUCCCGGUGUAGCGGUGGAAUGCGUAGAUAUCGGGAGGAACACCAGUGGCGAAGGCGGCCUACUGGGCACCAACUGACGCUGAGGCUCGAAAGUGUGGGUAGCAAACAGGAUUAGAUACCCUGGUAGUCCACACUGUAAACGAUGAUUACUAGGUGUUGGAGGAUUGACCCCUUCAGUGCCGCAGUUAACACAAUAAGUAAUCCACCUGGGGAGUACGACCGCAAGGUUGAAACUCAAAGGAAUUGACGGGGGCCCGCACAAGCAGUGGAGUAUGUGGUUUAAUUCGACGCAACGCGAAGAACCUUACCAAGUCUUGACAUCCUGCGACGCACAUAGAAAUAUGUGUUUCCUUCGGGACGCAGAGACAGGUGGUGCAUGGUUGUCGUCAGCUCGUGUCGUGAGAUGUUGGGUUAAGUCCCGCAACGAGCGCAACCCUUAUGGUCAGUUACUACGCAAGAGGACUCUGGCCAGACUGCCGUUGACAAAACGGAGGAAGGUGGGGAUGACGUCAAAUCAUCAUGCCCUUUAUGACUUGGGCUACACACGUACUACAAUGGCGUUAAACAAAGAGAAGCAAGACCGCGAGGUGGAGCAAAACUCAGAAACAACGUCCCAGUUCGGACUGCAGGCUGCAACUCGCCUGCACGAAGUCGGAAUUGCUAGUAAUCGCAGAUCAGCAUGCUGCGGUGAAUACGUUCCCGGGCCUUGUACACACCG
rnacentral:rRNA from 1 species